rnacentral:rRNA from 1 species
UACGAAGGGGGCUAGCGUUGCUCGGAAUCACUGGGCGUAAAGCGCACGUAGGCGGACUCUUAAGUCGGUGGUGAAAUCCUGGAGCUCAACUCCAGAACUGCCUUCGAUACUGAGAGUCUCGAGUCCGGGAGAGGUGAGUGGAAUUCCCGGUGUAGCGGUGAAAUGCGCAGAUAUCAGGAGGAACACCAAUGGCGAAGGCAGCUCGCUGGGACGGUACUGACGCUGAGGCGCGAAAGCGUGGGGAGCAAACAGG